GGAAAAGACGUAUUCUUCUUGAGCGAUAAACUUUUAUUUGAUUUAUUUAGAAUCCACCAACGUGUCCACUGUGCGGAAACAGCGCAAUAAUUUCCAGCAUUCGAGCCACAGAAUUCGUUUUGGCAUCGUUGGAUAGAGAAUUGAAAACUCGAUUCAGUCGUAACAAGAAAGUGAACCAUGGAUGGGAAAAUGUUGGCCCCUAAGACACCCCCCCUUGGAUCCGCCCGUGAAUGUCCUUCGCUUGGAACUCCGGCGAAUCUGUGCCAAAAAAUGGUUUCAGAUAAUUUUUGAUGCGAAAAACAACCUGUUAGCUGUCGUCGGCCAAUGAGAAACACGCAUUAGGAUUAAAUAAA